rnacentral:lncRNA from 1 species
AAGCAGUGAAUAGAAUGGGAAAAACAGGGUUACUGUGAAAAUCCUUCUGUCUUACCGUUUGGCAUAGGUUAAAGACAGCCCUAUGGGAGCUAGACUAUCCAUCUCAUCAUGUUCCUGCCUAUCACUGGCCUGCCUUCCAGCUGACAGCAACAAGGAGUUACCUCCCGGUGAAAAGUACUUUGGUUGACUAUGAGAAACAGAAGGAGGAGUGGCUGUGGUUUCUUUCUAUACCUGCAGGUGGUCAAUAAUUUUUCCAAAUCCUGAUACUACGUACGGUUUUGAAAAGGAUGAAGAUUUGUG